rnacentral:rRNA from 1 species
CCCUUAGAUGUUCUGGGCCGCACGCGCGCUACACUGAUGCAUUCAACGAGUUUCUUCUUGGUCCGAGAGGAAUGGGUAACCUUUUGAAAGUGCAUCGUGAUAGGGAUAGACUAUUGCAAUUAUUGGUCUUCAACGAGGAAUUCCUAGUAGACGUAGUUCAUCAGACUGCAUCGAUUACGUCCCUGCCCUUUGUACACACCGCCCGUCGCUCCUACCGAUUGAAUGCUCAGGUGAGCCAUUCGGACUUUCAUCAUGCUGGUUUCCAGUUUUGAUGAAGGAAAGUCUUACGAACCUUAUCAUUUAGAGGAAGGAGAAGUCGUAACA